GACACUGACGCACCGUCAUCCGCUCGAUCCUGCUUUUUUGAGCACAUCGCUUUAAACACGAAUUCAACACCACGUGAGCAUGUAUCGUUAGAAUCAGAAAAAAAAAAUUUGGGAGGUAAGUUCACAUAGGGUGUGUUCUGAAACGGCUUUUAAAUUAGUUUUUUUUUAUCCAGUCAACGCUGUCCCUCAAGCACCCUCUCCAAUGCUCGACAAUGUUUGAAUUUACUUUCCCUUCCCAAAUGACAUGCAAAGGUAAUACAAGUUUAUAUUUCAUAUUUCCAAAUGCCAGAUUUCACACAUUUCUUGUACUCGGUUUCAGGUUGAACUCGGCAAACACCAAACUUAACGGUCGCUGUUUUUCAAAGAGUAUAGCUGCUUAAAAGGCGCCAGUUUCUGAGAGAAUUUUUGUAAAUGCGCCACUUUUCUCUUUAUGUGGUCAAAGAACACAGAAAACGUAUUCAAAAAUAACUAACAAUGUAUUCCUUUAGGUUCUGACAUCACGAAGUAGCGAGAAUCGUCCUUAUACUGCGUAAACUAAAGGAAAACAAACGCCUGAGACGGUAAGACGUUAAAGCUGCCCGUGUUUUUUUCGUCAAAACUCAAGGCAGACUCCGUCCCUGCCCCGUCGAGGGUCAGAAGACGGCCUAUUCCCACGGAGGAGCCCCGUCCUUUCCUGAACACCCGCUCCGGAUGUCAACCGUGAGUACUCCAGCUCUCAAGCGCAUUAAAACACUCGGGUGGACGUGACAACCUCAAAUGGCAUCAGCCGUUCGCGAGCAUAUCUGCCGACUCCAGAAGACCAAUACUGAAGAUUUCAACUUCCAAGAAGAAAAUACUGAUGGCAUCGAGGCACUCUGACAAGUCAAAGUGUGCUGAGGGAAAGUAUAUCCUUGUUUGUGUGUAAUCCCUUUUAACCAGUUACUUGGAGGUAAUCUCAAAACAUUUCAGUGCAGUGUUAAAAAUGAAGACUAAAGUUUUUUGGGGGGGUUUUCCCCCAGGCCUCAAGUCGUUUGAUCGGGCUGGCAGUUCAACACUCGCGGAGUUCAGAGGAAGAAUGAGCGCUCACACUCCAAUGCUUAAAAUCGCAAGCCAGCGCUCCAACACUGUCCGCUUCUUUAAUCCCCACUUUGUCCGUUUAGCAUUCCUCCAAAACUCCGUUCAAGUCCGCUAGUUUUCAUGGGCAAGCUCAUGCCAGGCGAACGCACCGCACAGUCCUCUUUGCGUUCGCUCUCGGUUCUCCUCCCCGUCUGCACGAGCCUGUUGAAGGGGACGGCGGUGUCGCGAGAGCCGGGCGGCUUCAGGUAGGAGUUGAACACCGCUGGUUGGCGCUUUACCCGGGCGCUGCGUUCACGAGCACCACCACCAUGUUCUGAGCACACUCGGAAAAGAUGGUUGUGGGCGUGCGGUGGGGUGGACAACUUGACUACAAUGUUGAAAUUAAGGGAGGAGGGGGCAAGUCGCUGGGGAGCGCGCACGCAGGGCUCUUUAACGGCGGCGCGCACGCAUGAGAACGUCUUGGCGUGGAGUUCAUGUUGUCAUCAAAAGAACAGAAUGUGGCAUCAAAUCUGACCAUCCUCAAAGGUACUCGAGGAACAUACCUGAGAUUCUGGGUGCGUCUUGACCUUUGAUCUAUCAGAUAAAUCACAUCCAAGUGAUAAUCCUCCCACGCUUCCUGUGUCAGAUGUGCAUCAUGUCCAGUUUCUGAGACGUUGUGUUGUGUCAGACGGGAAAAGUUAUAACACAAGAGUGCGUUCAGGAAUUUGACCGACACCAGCCUGUGGAGUCGUCAUGCAUACGUGUACAGCUUUUAUUUCUUAGUGGCUACUUGUGGUCUCUGACUCAAAAAAACAGAGCUGUGGAUUAUUAAACAAACAAGAGUAUAACUAGCUCCACAGUAUUUAGCGCAAAUCUCUUAUCGGUUGUGUACUCGGGCUACUACUUUAUUGCAGAUAUUACAACAUUCACACUUCUAACCCUUCUAAGAAUCAUAAAUACUUAAAAGAAGUGAGCUUUCAUGUGGUGUUGCUCUAUAAAAUGUUUUACACAAAUUGCCCUGUUUGAAACUGUAUUUUGUAUAGAUAAAUGCAUAGAUUGCUGCUAUCAAAAUAGAUAAACAGAUAGCUGACAUAAACUGUACUUUUUAUGAGACCAAAGGUUACGUCAUUGAACGGUGAUCACUAUUUUUAUCGCAGGGAGUUAAAUGAUAUGCUGCGCCAUCUAGUGGACAUUUUAGAUCCUCAUGUUGAAGUGAAUCAACUGCAGCUGCAAAAUCGUUAUCAUUUGUCUCACAAUUCAUCCACGUAUUUAUUCUACUUUUUUUAUUGACUUAAAUAUCCAGUUGAACGUUUAAUUUCCAUAUUGGGUAACUCAAGAGUCACAAAAACAAUUUAAUGUCACCACAGUUGAAACAUGCAAGAAUGUGAACAAACGCAACAAAAUGUAUCAUCUCAUUUACCAACAACUCAUACACCAGUAAUUUGUACAAAGGAAUAUGAUCAAUAUGGAACUGAAGUAAUGAAGUCAAGAUAAACGUUCUACCACAUACGGCAUAUUCACGAUGGAAGCCGGUUUCUACCACGGCAUAAAGAAAAAAUUAAAUAAAAAAGGUAAUUUUGACAUUUGAGCUCACAUUUCAGAGAUAUAAACUCAAUUCUGAGAAAAAAAAAAGUCAGAUCUGCAACAUAGACAUCGAAGAUAUGAAGACUUUUUUUCAAUUCUGGGUUUUUAUCUACCAGUUCUGACUUUUUUUCUCAGAAGUAUUUAUAAGAAUUGUGUA